UAUACAUUUUCAUCGUUUGAUUAUGCUCAUAUUUUGAUUAUUGACGAUGUACUUUCAUCUGCAUCUCCCUGUUUCUUCUCUUCUUUUUUUUCCUUGUGCACACUAUGGCACUGUAUAAAUCAGACUGCUUUGUGUUAUUUUAGUAUUUUGUGUUUAGUUUUUUUAUGUCACUGUGAUUCAUGAGGCUCGGAAAAGGUUGGACUUGUAUGAUUCUUGAAAUAAUAAACAAUUUUUAUGUUGUUUAUGAACAUGGAUAACAAUGCACUUUACCUGUUUGAUAAAAAGUUUGAACCAAAGGUUUCUUUGUGAUGCUGAAACUCGAUAAUUCGGAGACAUUGUUCUUCCUGACAAUUGAAGACCAAUCAUUAUCAUCUCUCUAUGUGUUGUGCACGGUUUAUAAUUUAUCCAUGUCAAGCUUUGUUUGUUUUUAGGGGUUAUGUUAGUCAAAUUAAACCUUGUAUAUGCUUAGUUCUUUGACAGCCCGUUUGGUUUGUUAGUGUUGAGAUCAUAAUCUCUAGUUAUUUAUUUCUCGAUUACCCUUGAGUUUCACCUAUUAUUUUUUGUGUCUUUCUUUCUGCAGUGUUCUUGUUCUUGUUGAUUAGAAACUUUUGAUUACAUGCUAGUGAUAUAAAGAGGGUAGAAAAUGCCACAUAGAACGAGGCCCAUGACAGGGAUGUUGGUAUUUCUAGGGGUCAAUGCAGUUUUACUGUCAACGAUCUCUCCGGUGUAUGAUUUUGUCUGCUUCCUACCUUACUGGGAUAGAAGGAGAGAAAGACGCCGUACUGAAAGGGAAGGUGCUUUGGCAAAGGAAUCGUAAUAGGCUUGAAGUAUGUUCUGAAAUUUAAUAUGUGGGACGAAGCAGCUGCACUUCAAUUCGGACGAUUGGAUUUGUAACUUCUCUUGAUAUCAAGAAGUUACUUUUGAAUGGUUGUUUCUACAUAUUCUUAAGACAUUUAAGAUUAUAAUAGUGUAAGCCAAGAUAUGUGAUUUCUGGAGCUUCAUCAUUUAGAGCUUUUUUUUUUAUAUAUACAGAGAAGUAGAUUAACAUGAGUUUUAUGAUAAGAGAUGAUAAUACUCGACUACUGACGUCUUUUCUCUGUGCAGGUAUACAUGUACGUAAAUAUACAUGUAUAUGACGUAGGUAGAAGUGCAGGAGUACUAAUUAAUACAAGUUAGUAUUAAAGUAUAUAUGAGAAAGCAUAAGUAAGCAGUGAACAAGAAAGUGGGACUUUAUUUCUUUCUCAACUUCGUACGCUAAAAACUGUACAUAAAAUGUGAUCUUCACCGGCUAUUUAUAGCUGUACAGAAGGGAUAAACAUCACCCUUUAAUAAGAUUAUUAUUAACC